rnacentral:lncRNA from 1 species
CCCUGGAACUUCUGCUGUUCCAUUCCCAAACCUGCAGCAACCAUUGGCAUCGCCGAAAUCCGGUGAGCCUGCAGCUACCAUCGAACUGGACGGCGACUCACACCCACUCACACAUAGUCAUUCCUCACCUCUCAACACACCCAUCAAUAGCCUCAUCUCCACCAUGAAUCCAUCCCCAAAUCAACUAUGAAUCAUCCAUACAUCUGGCGUCAACACCACCAUGAAACCCCGGUAAAUAAAGCUCAUGGAGUUGCAGAAUUUCCUUCACAAAAUCACCUCAAAACAUCAACCGAAGCAACAUGAGUUAGCCCAAAAAGACUCCAAAAUCAUGGGCUACUACCAGGGAGUUCGUUGGGUCCGUUUUCUGUUUAGUUUGAAUUUUCCGGCGAGUUUCGAUUGUGAUUUGGAGUCGAGAAAAGCAGAACAAUAUUUCGGGGACGUCGUUUGUCGUUCUGAGUUCGUCGAGGUUAGAAGGUUCCCAUUCUUCGCCCUCAGUUUCAUUUCGUGUAUUAUAUUAUUGUUCAAUGUUAAGAUUUAUGUGAAUUCUUGUUUCUUGUGAUAUUUUAAGGAGGAAUCUCUACUCUUAAUUGAAAUUGUUUUUUGUUCAUUUGAGCUAAUUCACCAACCCGUUGGAUGCAAAAAUUUAGAUAGAACUAUUAUAUUCAUUUGUUGGUGUCUAUGUACAAAACAUAUAUUAGUUAUUAAAAGAGAGUGUUCGGUCAUUUGUGCUUAUAACUUUUCCCUUUUUCUUAUGAACUGGAGGAUCGAGAUUGGUACUAACUUUUAAUGGAAUUCGUUGUGGCGUAGAAUGUUAUCUGCUUGAUCUUGGCAUACUGUUGUUAAUUUCAGGUUUUAAUUUUUCACAUUCAUCUGUACUUUGUAUCCUAAUAAGGCAUCUUUAAUUGGAACAUGGCUGAUGCUUGGGAUUAGAGUGGUGCUCGGUUGACUGGAAAAAGUGAACGAUGUUUUUUUGGUUUUUUUGGUACUACAUUUGUAUAUACAGAUAACUUGAAUGAAUAUUGUCGCCUAUGUAAAAUAAGUAAUUGCGUAAGCGUUUGUG